CACGGGGGGGGCAAGCGUUGUCCGGAAUUAUUGGGCGUAAAGGGCGCGUAGGUGGAAUAAUAAGUCUGGGGUGCAAACCUAUAGCUUAACUAUGGGCUUGCCUUGGAUACUGUUAUUCUUGAGUUCGGAAGAGGGAAGUGGAAUUCCUGGUGUAGCGGUGAAAUGCGUAGAUAUCAGGAAGAACACCGGUGGCGAAGGCGGCUUCCUGGUCCGAUACUGACACUGAUGCGCGAAAGUGUGGGGAG
rnacentral:rRNA from 1 species